rnacentral:tRNA from 1 species
UAGCUCAAUUGGUAGAGCAUGGUGUUUGCAACGCCAGGGUUGUGGGUUCGAAUCCCAC